GAACUUGCACCGAAUGCAGUGCAAUAAUUGACUCUCGCUCUUCGAGGGAUGUUACUUAGACCGAUAAAUGACACAUUGACAGAUUCCCGUGCACAUAACAUCAAAAGCAAUAGUUAGGUCAACUGGUUCACACUGUGAUGUCAUUCGGAAGAUGUUGUUCUCCAUGACAAUUAGUGAAUGCGCAGCACACAAACGAACGACCAGGAGCACAGUAAUAUAAGUGACACGACAGAGGCAACUACAUGAAGGACUUAUUUUUUUUCUAGAGCAACCAGAUUCGCUGAUCAGCAGCAUCAAUAUGCAAUAAAUGUGCCUCACUUUCGAACGUCUCAGUUCUAGAGGUCCUUUAUUCCUCACACCGUUGAACUGUGGAACAGCCUCCCAGAGGAUGUCGUGCAGCUGGAACUUCAGAAGUUCAAGAGA